UACAGAGGCCCCAAGCGUUUGUUCGGAUUCAUUUGGGCGUAAAGGGUGUGUAGGUGGCGCCGUAAGUCGGGUGUGAAAUCUCGGGGCUUAACUCCGAACUGCAUUCGAUACUGCGGUGCUUUGAGGACUGGAGAGGAGACUGGAAUUCAUGGUGUAGCAGUGAAAUGCGUAGAGAUCAAUGAGGAAGACCAGUGGCGAAGGCGGGUCUCUGGACAGUUCGUGACAUGAGGCACGAAGGCCAGGGGAGCAAACGGGG
rnacentral:rRNA from 1 species